rnacentral:rRNA from 1 species
UACGAAGGGGGCUAGCGUUGCUCGGAAUUACUGGGCGUAAAGGGCGCGUAGGCGGGUCGUUUAGUUAGAGGUGAAAGCCCAGGGCUCAACCCUGGAAUUGCCUUUAAUACUGGCGGCCUUGAGUAUGGCAGAGGUGUGUGGAACUCCGAGUGUAGAGGUGAAAUUCGUAGAUAUUCGGAAGAACACCAGUGGCGAAGGCGACACACUGGCCCGGUACUGACGCUGAGGUGCGAAAGCGUGGGGAGCAAACAGG